rnacentral:lncRNA from 1 species
UGUCCCCAACAUAUCCCCAAUGUGUCCCCAAUAUAUCCCCAAUGUGCCCCCACUGUUUCCCCUAUUGUGUCCCCAAUAUAUCCCCAAUGUGUCCCCAAUGUGCCCCCAUUGUGUCCCCAAGGUGUCCCCAGUAUAUCCCCAAUGUGUCCCCAUGUGCUCAGCCCACGCAGUCGUUCUGUUCCCAAUUAAUUUGCCCCUCAUUUGGUUCAUUUCGUGCUCUGUUAAUUACCGUGCUGGGGUCGGUCACGCAGCGUUCGGUCUCUAAUUACAGAGCUGUGCUCGUUAAAUCUCU